GUCUUCAUGGCUUAGUUGGUUAAAGCGUCGGUCUCGUUAUCCGAAGGUCGCGAGUUCGACUCUCGCUGAGGACA
rnacentral:tRNA from 2 species